CAUGUUGUCUCAUGUUGAAUACCUCAUUUUUAGACAACAAUUGUGGCUGACACGUUUAGUCCCAAAUUGAGGACAAUCGUAUUUCUGCCAUUUGUGGUUAAAGAAGAAUUCACUCCUCAAGGUGGACAAUGAACUUAAUCUUAAGGUCGAUGUUUUCAGACAACGAAUUACUGGGGAGGCGGAGAACCUAGUUGCAAGUUUUUUCCCAAAUAAGUUAUUGGAACUUGACCAUUUUCUCAAGGAUCCCAUUUUAAACAUCUGUGAACUUAAAGAGAUACACUCAGAAAUCAACUUGACAGUGCCAGACCCCAUUCUACUCACAAACCUCCACGAUGGACUUGAAGCGCAUAAUGCCAAAAAGAGGAAAAUGGAAGAUGGUACUGGGGAGGACAAGGUGGCUGGCACCAAGGUCUUUAUCAUGCCUAGUGGGAUGAUGAAGAGCAACACCAAGCUGGUGGACUUGAUCGAGAAGGUCAAGCCAGAGAUCAGGACACUCAUAGAGAAAUGUAACACGGUAAAAAUGUGGGUUCAGUUGCUUAUCCCAAGAAUAGAAGAUGGCAACAACUUUGGGGUUUCAAUUCAGGUCUCAUCUAAGUGUAUGCUACAUUGAACCAUGGCUCCACCACUGAUUUGGUGUCUGCAGGAGGAGACAGUAGCUGAACUCCGAACAGUGGAGGGGGAAGCAGCAUCGUACCUCGACCAGAUAUCUGGAUACUACAUCACAAGAGCAAAGCUAGUGUCCAAAAUAGCAAAAUACCCACAUGUGGAGGACUACCGGCGCACAGUGACUGAGAUUGAUGAGAAGAAAUACAUCAGCCUCAAGGUCAUAGUUUCAGAGCUGAGAAAUCAAUACGUAACGCUACACGACAUGAUCUUGAAGAACAUUGACAAGAUCAAGAAGCCUAGGAGCAGCAAUGCUGAAGCAUUGUACUGAGACUGACCCAGCCACCCCUCCCGUUCCCUUCUUCUGCCAGCUGUCAAAGUAGCGGAAGGACUAGAGCUAGACCAUCACUACCAGAUCAGUACAAUCCAGGAAACCAUGGUCCCGGUAUCUUUUCGUUUGAUUGGUAAAAUAUGGUCAUUGUUUUAAAAUCCUUCAAAGAGUAUGUUAUGAGGUCUCUCGACGAACCGUGAGCAAUGGCUCUGGGAAAAGAACGCUAUGUAUUUUUUAUUCAAUUAAAACCAUUUUGUCCAUGCA